rnacentral:rRNA from 1 species
CACGGAGAGGUAGUGACAAAAAAUAACGAUACGGGACUCAUCCGAGGCCCCGUAAUCGGAAUGAGUACACUUUAAAUCCUUUAACAAGUACCAAUUGGAGGGCAAGUCUUGGUGCCAGCAGCCGCGGUAAUUCCAGCUCCAAUAGCGUAUAUUAAAGUUGUUGCAGUUAAAAAGCUCGUAGUUGGUUCUGUGUGCCAAACUGUCGGUUUACCGCCUGUCGGUGUAACUGACACGUCGUGGGACGUCCUGCCGGUGGCAAUUACAGAUCUUGACGAUUUGCUAAUUGCCUUUAAUUCUCAUCGCGGUGCUCUUUAUUGAGUGUCGAGGUGAGCCGGCACGUUUACCUUGAACAAAUUAGAGUGCUCAAGGCAGGCCAAAUUCUGCUUGAAUAUUUGUGCAUGGAAUAAUGGAACAGGACCUUGGUUCUAUUUUGUUGGUUUUCAGAAUCCAAGGUAAUGAUCAAUAUGGACGGUCGGGGGCAUUCGUAUUGCGGCGUUAGAGGUGAAAUUCUUGGAUCGUCGCAAGACGAACUAGAGCGAAAGCAUUUGCCAAGUACGUCUUAAUUGAUCAAGAACGACAGUUAGAGGUUCGAAGGCGAUCAGAUACCGCCCUAGUUCUAACCAUAAACGAUGUCAGCCAGCGAUCCGUAGAGUUCUUUGAAUGACUCGACGGGCAGCUUCCGGGAAACCAAAGCUUUUGGGUUCCGGGGGAAGUAUGGUUGCAAAGCUGAAACUUAAAGGAAUUGACGGAAGGGCACCACCAGGAGUGGAGCCUGCGGCUUAAUUUGACUCAACACGGGAAACCUCACCAGGCCCAGACAUUGGAAGGAUUGACAGAUUGAUAGCUCUUUCUUGAUUCAGUGGGUAGUGGUGCAUGGCCGUU